GACGAACGCUGGCGGCGUGCUUAACACAUGCAAGUCGGACGAUGAACCCGGAGCUUGCUCCGGUGGAUUAGUGGCGAACGGGUGAGUAACACAUGAGUAACCUGCCCCUGACUCUGGGAUAACUGCGGGAAACUGUAGCUAAUACCGGAUACGACCCUCGGCGGCAUCGCCAGGGGGUGGAAAGAAUUUCGGUCAAGGAUGGACUCGCGGCUUAUCAGCUAGUUGGUGAGGUAAAGGCUCACCAAGGCGACGACGGGUAGCCGGCCUGAGAGGGUGACCGGCCACACUGGGACUGAGACACGGCCCAGACUCCUACGGGAGGCAGCAGUGGGGAAUAUUGCACAAUGGGCGCAAGCCUGAUGCAGCGACGCCGCGUGAGGGAUGAAGGUCUUCGGAUUGUAAACCUCUUUCAGUAGGGACGAAGCGAAAGUGACGGUACCUAAAGAAGAAGCACCGGCUAACUACGUGCCAGCCGCCGCCGUAA
rnacentral:rRNA from 1 species